CACCUCCGCCGCUUCAUCUCCGCAGGCAUCAUGCUGCGGAUUUCUGCCUUUCGGCUGCUAGGACGCACGGGGGCGAGUAGGCUCUCGCUCCUGGAGGACUUUAGCUUACGCCACUACAGUUCGGACCCUCUCGGUGUCCAGGACGAUACCCGCGACGCGCGCGCCUAUUUCACCACACCCAUCUUCUACGUGAACGCGGCGCCGCACAUCGGGCACCUGUACUCGGCGGUACUGGCUGACGCCCUGUGCCGAUACCAUCGCCUCCGAGUUCCCAGCGCCGCCGCCACGCGAUUCUCCACUGGUACUGAUGAGCACGGCCUCAAGAUUCAGCAGGCAGCAGCCGCUGCGGGCCUGGCUCCGUCCGAGCUGUGCGACAGAGUCUCUGCCCAGUUCCAGCAGCUUUUCCGGGAGGCUGACAUCUCCUCCACCGACUUUAUCCGCACCACUGAGGCCCGGCAUCGGAUGGCUGUGCAGCAUUUCUGGGGGGUGCUGAAGGCUCGGGGUCUUCUCUACAAGGGGCUCUAUGAAGGUUGGUAUUGCGCCUCUGACGAGUGCUUCCUGCCUGAAGCCAAGGUCACCAGGCAGCCCGGUCCGUCGGGGGAUUUGUGUCCUGUAUCUCUGGAGAGCGGGCAUCCCGUCUCCUGGACCAAGGAAGAAAACUACAUUUUCAGGCUUUCCCAGUUCCGGGAGCCGCUCCAGCGGUGGCUGCGGGGCGACCCUCAGGCCAUCACCCCGGAGCCAUUCCAUCACGCAGUCCUUCAGUGGCUGGAAGAGGAGCUGCCGGACCUAUCCGUCUCUCGAAGGAGUAGCCACUUGCACUGGGGCAUUCCGGUGCCCGGGGACGAUUCGCAGACCAUCUACGUAUGGCUGGAUGCCUUGGUCAACUACCUUACUGUAAUUGGCUACCCAAACGCUGAGUUCAAAUCUUGGUGGCCCACCACCUCUCAUAUCAUAGGCAAGGACAUUCUCAAAUUCCAUGCUGUCUAUUGGCCUGCCCUCCUCUUAGGGGCCGGCAUGAGCCCACCACACCGCAUCUAUGUUCACUCCCACUGGACGGUCUGUGGUCAAAAGAUGUCUAAGAGCUUGGGCAACGUGGUGGAUCCCAGGACAUGCCUUGACCGCUAUACUGUGGAUGGUUUCCGCUACUUUCUCCUUCGUCAGGGCGUCCCCAACUGGGACUGUGAUUACUAUGGUGAAAAGGUGGUUAAGUUGUUGGAUUCCGAGCUGGCAUUUGCUUUGGGAGGUCUCUUGAACCGAUGCACUGCCAACAGAAUAAAUCCUUCUGGGACCUAUCCGGCUUUUUGCACUACCUGCUUUCCCAGUGAGCCAGGGUUGGUGGGGCCAUCAGGUCGUGCUCAGGCAGAGGACUAUGCUCUGGUGAUGGUGAAGGGAGGAAAUGAUCAAUGCUCCAGGAAUCUCAAACUGGAUUUAGGGAUCUCUCCAAGGCUCCAUAAGAGAACAUCACAGAGAAGAUGUUAAGGUAUCAACUUAUACAAUGACUACAACAUAGUAAGCCAGCAUUAUAUCUCAUAGGUGAUUGGACAGCUAGGGCAAAGUUUAAAAUGAGAACUUGCCUUGAGAUAUCCAUUCUAAGCAUGGUAGCAAGCAGAGAGGGCUCAUCAUGAAGUAAACUGUGCUGGUAGUUCCCCCAGAUUUAUUCUGAGUGCUACUGUUCAGCUCCAAUUUCUGUUUAUUAGUUGGUGUGGCGAGAGAUUUCUGGUUGCUUGGAAACAUUGCUUAGAAAAGAAUGCUUGAAGGCAUUCUAAAGGUGGAAGGACCAUUUCUACCAGUGUUCCUUUAGAUCCUCCUUAUUCUUCAUAAUGGAAUCCUGGGCUUUCCAUAUGACAUAUUCCAGUUACCUGCUGGGAUUACUAGGGUAGAUUACUGGGACCUAGGAUGGAGUGUAAUAUCUCAGGACUGGAUAGCAGAGUAGUGAAAGAGAUGGGAUGUGUUUACAUGGAUGAAGGAAAACAGACUUGGAAAACCAGCAUUGGUAACUUCUGCCUUCGAAGUGCCAUUAUAAGUCUUAGAGUUCCUAUCAUGAACGGAGGGACAGUGUCUUCCACUUGAAUGAUCUUUCCUAUGGCCUAACGCUGGUCAGUACACUGGACAUUGGCUUACUGGGUAUUAAUAGAGUUCCUUUUGUGCAGUCUGUCAUUUGUGUAGGCACUUAACUUCUACCAGAGUAUUUGUGGUACUGGAGGACACAGGAAAACAGGCAAACCAAAGAGGAGAGGGCAUAAUUUUUACAGAAGACAGGAUAUUUUAAGUGAAGAAGUGUGGUAAGUUGGAUAUGACUUAUUCUGUGGUGAUAUGGAAGAUGAACCAGUUGGAUUCUCUGUAGGAGGCAAAACAGGUAAAGCAAAUACCCUUUGGGUACUGAAGUGAUGUGUUAUUUAAUCCAGCAGUUUAAGAAUGGCAAGUGGAGGAUAGGUGAGACUUAAAACUGGCAGGGAUGCACUUCCAAGAGAGGACAUCCUAACCACUUGUGGGAGAAGAUGAUGAUAAACUUGUAGACAUCUAAGAAGUCCCCUAUUCCAGAAUUGCUAACACCUUAUCUGGCAUCUUGUGGGUUCCUUGACCAGAAAGGAAGUUUCUCCCAAGUACUACCCUAAGGCUGUCAAAUAUUCAUUUUAGAGUAUUCUUGGAGGCAGUGUUGCAUGAGUGAUAGAGCACUGUUCAGGUGUUCAUGGAAUAUCACGUUAAAGUAAUAAUAAGCUGUCAACCCAGUAGACUACAGUCUACUAUGAAGUCAUGCAAGAAGUUGUGGGCAAUGUAUACGUGUGGCACCAUUGUAUAUUAGAGGGCUAUUCCACAAGUGAACUCGUAGAUUAGGCACCUCAGAAGUCAGAAGACCUAUGGCUAUAUGGAGGUCAAGAAUAGGCAGGAACAAGAAAUAGUUACAGUCUCAUUUCAUUGAAAUCUCACACUUAUUCUGGAAGUAGGCCUCAUUAUUUUUCUUAAGCACCUGUGUGACUCUAUAAGGGCUGAGAAGAGCCUGAUAAAUUGAAUUUUAAGUUGAUGCACUCAAGAAGGCAUAGGCUGGGACAUGGGCGCCAAGGCACAGGCCUUUUUUCUUUUUCCCCUAUAGCUGUAUCUAUGAUUGGCACAUAACUCUUUAGAUCUGGGAAGUUCCGAAAUUGAAGUAAAGUUGGUCAGGUUGUGGGCCUCCAACUAGGAAGACUUAUAAUCAUGAAGUAGCUUGGGUAGCAGGUGGCAGUACCAACUACUCAACAGAUUACUCCUUGGGCAUUAUGGUAGGGAAGGUUUCCUGGCUCUCUGCUUCACCCCUAAGUGAGUGUGUAGUUGCAGUGUUGGCCUGCAUUAGUGUAACCUUGAGUUACAGUGGGGAAGCAGUCAUGCCUCUUGACUAAGACUUGGUCUAUAAAGCUGCUGUCUGACAAUCUAUAAUUGCCUCCUAGAGGCAGUCCCCCCCUAUCCAUAGUUCUACCAGAUGGAGAACAACUGUUCUUGCUGGUAAGGUCUGGGAUGCUGUAAACCUUGAUGGGUCCUUGCCCUCAUCUUUUGCCAGAAUGAGUAAUAUCAGUGGAUCUGAAAAGGUAUGGACCUACUGGCAGUCAUGUGUCUAUUUUUGCUGAGAGAGCCUGGGGGGAGCUAGGGCACAGGUCGAGGUAACCAAGAGUACAAGUUAGAGGGUUCAGUUCUAGAACAAAGCCUUGGAGCCCCUUGCAAAACUAAGACAGUAUGAAAUAUGUCAUUUCAGCACAACACAGCUGGCCCUGCCCCUUCUUGUAGGAGCUUUGGAUAGGACUGGUUAACUUCUAUCAAUAGGAACACCCUAAAUUUGGAGGUUAACAUUGCUGGAAGGGCCAGAACAGUAACAACCAAGUUAAUUAAGGUUAAUUAGUGGGGAUUUUAGCCUUUCAAGAAGAGGGUCUUAUUCUUUUUUGAGAUAGAGGAUAGGAGAAGCCCCAGCCUAAGGUGCUUUCUUCUAUCAUCCAGAACUACUUUGAGCUGAGAGGAAGGGACUAACCAGUGUUGGCCUGCAUUAGUGUAACCUUAGAGGUGAAACUGACUUAUUUUUAGGUAGUCCUGGGUUAUCCAGUAUAGAUCCUCUGAAUUAAGGGGAACCAUCUAACGGAAUAGUUGACCAUAUGUAAAAUACCUUGCUUAAGAUUAUAUCACAUUAAUCAGUUUCUACUUAAAUUUCCAUGAUGAGUAAAGGGGAUUGGGAAGAGGUACACACCAAGAGGAUCUUCCUAUGGCCUUGACAACUACAAAUAAUAUACUCUCUACAGUGCCUCUUCUCAUGAAUAGCUAUUGGCAGCUUCAGCCUUACUUGGAUCUUCACCAAAGUAAGCUCCUCACUUACGAACAGUAUGGUAUGAGAUGUCAGAAUGUUUCAGGAAACCAAAUGUAUGAUCUGCAAGAAGAAAAUAACUCCAAGGAGAGAUGAGCUCUGCCUUCAAUUCAUUAAGGAUUUUUGGAUGAAACAUCUGCAGAGGGCCUGGAAGACUCACUGGGUGUCCUGAUUUGAAUGAUAAACAUAUCAUUUCUGCAUUUAGUAAGAACUUGGAGCAGAGAUGAGCAAAGUCAAGAACUUUCUGACUAAUACAAGGAGCAGAAGUGAAAACGGAACUUGAUAUGAUUGAUAAAACAUCAGAGGAUCUUGUCUAUAGGUUUACUUCAGCUCUGCACCGUGCCAUUUUCAAGAUCCAGCCUCUGUCUGGUGAACAAUUAAUACUGUGGCAAAGGAAAAUGAGAUCAUGAGUGAACUGAAGACGUUUACACGGAAACUGAAGCAAAUUAUCCAACAACUGGGUCCCAGUAAACCCUAGUUUAUCUCUGCAUGGACUUGACUUCUAAAGGUUCGUUUCGAACAUCUAAACUUCCCAAAAUACACACGGAGCGCCUCCGGGUGCGCACACGCGCGCUCUCACACCCCACUCGAGUACACAACCCCGUCUGCGU